GACGUAGGGGGCGAGCGUUGUCCGGAAUCAUUGGGCGUAAAGAGCGUGUAGGCGGCUUGGCAAGUCUGACGUGAAAGCCCGCGGCUCAACCGCGGAUUGUCGUUGGAAACUGCCUCGCUAGAGUCCGGAAGAGGAGAGCGGAAUUCCUGGUGUAGCGGUGGAAUGCGCAGAUAUCAGGAAGAACGCCCGUGGCGAAGGCGGCUCUCUGGGACGGUACUGACGCUGAGACGCGAAAGCGUGGGGAGCGAACAGG
rnacentral:rRNA from 1 species